UGUCUAAUUAAAACAAAGCAUUGCGAUGUCCGCUGACCGGUUAUGACGCAAUGUGAUUUCUACCCAGUGCUCUGAGUGUCAAAGUGAAGAAAUUCAAUCAAGUGCGGGUAAACGACAGGAGUAACUAUUGCUAACCGCUACAACAUGCGUUAAUCCUUAUCAUGAACCAUUU
rnacentral:ncRNA from 1 species